rnacentral:rRNA from 1 species
GGGUCAGUAGGUUGGUCGUGCCACCGGUACGUACUGGUCUCACUGAUUCCUCCUUCCUGAAGAACCGUAAUGCCAUUAAUUUGGUGUUGCGGGGAAACAGGACUGUUACUUUGAAAAAAUUUAGAGUGUUUAAAGCAAGCUAACGCUUGAAUACAUUAGCAUGGAAUAAUGAAAUAGGACGAUCGAUCCUAUUUUGUUGGUUUCUAGGAUUGACGUA